CCUGGGUGCUCUGUCACUUGGCUUCAUGAGGAGUGACGAAUGGAUGCUCUGGCUCAUAGUGAGCUCACAGUGCAGCUGUUUGAGACAGUCCAUAUAUUCUGCCUAAUAUUAGAGGAUCUGACCUGCUUUGGGUUCUCCAAAAGGCAGAUGCCUGCUGGUGAUCUGCAGGAGGAUGUGUGCAGCUGACCCAGGACUGGGCUCAUGUGCCUUACUGGUCAGGGGGUUUGGAGAGAUGAUAGAGCAGCAGAAGUUUUAAGACAAGAAAAGAGAACGUGGGCUUAAGCUGUCAGGAAUAGGGAAAAGGUGCAUUUGUCCAAUAAGAGCUCAGUUAUGAAUUGCAUUUUAAAACCUCAAGUUUCUUUAAGUUCUAAUUUUUUCAGGUGUUUGAGGAGUAGAGGCAGGGCUGCCCCCCAGUAGAGGACAAACAGGUAACCUCAGUAAUCCCAAUCCAACAGGCACUGGGCAGGGAGGCUCAGAUCACUGAUAGUGAGCCCUGUCAGCAGCUCUAGACAAAGCAAGGGUGUGAAUUCAGUCUCAGUGCUACCCAUGAGCAGCAGGAGACAGGACUGAAGACAGGUGCAUCUUAGCAAAGAACUGAAGGCAUAGGCAUGAGGUCAGAAGGAGCCCUGGGAGCAGUGGGUAGGUGUGGUUCCCAGGUGAGGCUGGUCAGAGCAAUUAUGACCCGUCAGUGCCCUGAGCAGUGGUUACAAAUCCUCAACACAGUUUUCAGAAGAAUCAUCAGACUUUUACUAAACUAUUCUGCUGCUCUGAUCCCUACCCAUCACCCAUUUUGUUCUAAAUAGGAGGCUUCCUAAAGACUAUUAAUUUUGGCACCACAUUGUUGUGAGGUACGUGCAGAAAAUGCAGUACCCUGGCAGAGUGAAGGCAAGAUUAAUCUAAUGGUCCCAGUCUGGACUGGAUUUGCCCACCCUAUUGAGCACCCCCCCUGAGAAGGGCUUACCCAAAGGGAAAACAGACUCUUCAGACUGAUUGCACAAGAAGGACAUGAAGCUGUUGGAGCAAGUCCAGAGGAGGCCAUGGACAUGCUGCAAGCCCCUCUGCUCUGGAGCCAGGCUGGCAGAGCUGGGGUGCUCACCCAGAGAGGAGAAGGCUCCAGGGACACCUCAGAGCCCCUUGCAGGGCCUAAAGGGGCUCCAGGAGAGCUGCAGAGGGACUGAGGACAAGGCAUGGAGGGACAGGACACAGGGAAUGGCUUCCCACUGCCGGAGGGCAGGGUUAGGUGAGAUAUUGGGAAAAAAAUUCUUGUCCAUGAGGGUGAGGAGGCCCUGACACCGGUUGCCCAGAGCAGCUUUGGCUGGAAGUGUCCAAGGCCAGGCUGGACAGAGCUUGGAGCAACUUGGGAUAGUGGGAGGUGUCCCUACCCAUGGCAGGGGGUUGAAACAAGGUGGUCUUUAAGGUCCCUUCCAACCCGAAUCAUUUAAUAAUUCUGUUAUAUGGGGAAUAACACAUGCUAUUUUCUUUACUCAGUGUGCUUUCUGAUUCAGUCAAGGGUGAACAGAUGGGUUUUGAUUGCAAUAGUCUGAGAUGCUCGGUAUUUCAAAGAUAAAUAUUUGAGCUUAAAUGUUGCCAAGUAACAAGAUUCCUCUGUUUUUUUUUUUUGCU